ACUUUUAAAGGACAGAAG
rnacentral:tRNA from 1 species